GCUGAGGCUCGAAAGCGUGGGGAGCAAACAGGAUUAGAUACCUUGGUAGUCCACGCCGUAAACGAUGAGUGCUAAGUGUUGGAGGGUUUCCGCCCUUCAGUGCUGCAGCAAACGCAUUAAGCACUCCGCCUGGGGAGUACGACCGCAAGGUUGAAACUCAAAGGAAUUGACGGGGGCCCGCACAAGCGGUGGAGCAUGUGGUUUAAUUCGAAGCAACGCGAAGAACCUUACCAGGUCUUGACAUCCUUUGACCACUCUAGAGAUAGAGCUUCCCCUUCGGGGGCAAAGUGACAGGUGGUGCAUGGUUGUCGUCAGCUCGUGUCGUGAGAUGUUGGGUUAAGUCCCGCAACGAGCGCAACCCUUAUUGUUAGCUGCCAUCAUUUAGUUGGGCACUCUAGCGAGACUGCCGGUGACAAACCGGAGGAAGGUGGGGAUGACGUCAAAUCAUCAUGCCCCUUAUGACCUGGGCUACACACGUGCUACAAUGGGAAGUACAACGAGUUGCGAAGUCGCGAGGCUAAGCUAAUCUCUUAAAGCUUCUCUCAGUUCGGAUUGUAGGCUGCAACUCGCCUACAUGAAGCCGGAAUCGCUAGUAAUCGCGGAUCAGCACGCCGCGGUGAAUACGUUCCCGGGCCUUGUACACACCGCCCGUCACACCACGAGAGUUUGUAACACCCGAAGUCGGUGAGGUAACCUUUUUGGAGCCAGCCGCCUAAGGUGGGAUAGAUGA
rnacentral:rRNA from 1 species